rnacentral:rRNA from 1 species
GACGAACGCUGGCGGCGUGCUUAACACAUGCAAGUCGAACGGAAAGGCCCUGCUUUUGUGGGGUGCUCGAGUGGCGAACGGGGGAGUAACACGUGAGUAACCUGCCCUUGACUUUGGGAUAACUUCAGGAAACUGGGGCGAAUACCGGAUAGGAGCUCCUGCUGCAUGGUGGGGGUUGGAAAGUUUCGGCGGUUGGGGAUGUACUCGCGGCUUAUCAGCUUGUUGGUGGGGUAGUGGCUUACCAAGGCUUUGACGGGUAGCCGGCCUGAGAGGGUGACCGGGCACAUUGGGACUGAGAUACGGAGCAGACGCGUAUGGGAGGCAGCAGUGGGGAGUAUUGCACAAUGGGCGGAAGCCAGAUGCAGCAACGCCGCGUGCGGGAUGACCGCCUUUGGGUUGUAAACCGCUUUCGCCGGUGACGAAGCGUGAGUGACGGUAAUGGGUAAAGAAGCACCGGCUAACUACGUG